GAUGAACGCUGGCGGCGUGCCUAAUACAUGCAAGUCGAGCGAACAGACGAGGAGCUUGCUCCUCUGACGUUAGCGGCGGACGGGUGAGUAACACGUGGAUAACCUACCUAUAAGACUGGGAUAACUUCGGGAAACCGGAGCUAAUACCGGAUAAUAUAUUGAACCGGAUGGUUCAAUAGUGAAAGACGGUUUUGCUGUCACUUAUAGAUGGAUCCGCGCCGCAUUAGCUAGUUGGUGAGGUAACGGCUUACCAAGGCAACGAUGCGUAGCCGACCUGAGAGGGUGAUCGGCCACACUGGAACUGAGACACGGUCCAGACUCCUACGGGAGGCAGCAGUAGGGAAUCUUCCGCAAUGGGCGAAAGCUUGACGGAGCAACGCCGCGUGAGUGAUGAAGGUCUUCGGAUCGUAAAACUCUGUUAUUAGGGAAGAACAAAUGUGUAAGUAACUAUGCACGUCUUGACGGUACCUAAUCAGAAAGCCACGGCUAACUACGUG
rnacentral:rRNA from 1 species